rnacentral:rRNA from 1 species
AGAGCGAACGCUGGCGGCAGGCCUAACACAUGCAAGUCGAGCGCCCGUAGCAAUACGGGAGCGGCAGACGGGAUAGUAACACGUGGGAACGCGCCCUUCGGUUCGGAAUAACUCAGGGAAACUUGAGCUAAUACCGGAUACGCCCUUACGGGGAAAGAUUUAUUGCCGAAGGAACGGCCCGCGUCCGAUUAGCUAGUUGGUGAGGUAAUGGCUCACCAAGGCGACGAUCGGUAGCUGGUCUGAGAGGAUGACCAGCAUCACUGGGACUGAGACACGGCCCAGACUCCUACGGGAGGCAGCAGUGGGGAAUAUUGGACAAUGGGCGCAAGCCUGAUCCAGCCAUGCCGCGUGGAUGAUGAAGGCCUUAGGGUUGUAAAGUCCUUUAACGGGAAGAUAAUGACGGUACCCGUAGAAUAAGCCCCGGCUAACUUCGUGCCAGCAGCCGC